CCCCCAAACCCCAAAUCGUUCAAGAAGCUCAUCUCCCGCACCUGGGUUUUGCAGAUGAUCUGUUUCUUUUCUUGAAUGGUGGUGAUGGGCAACCAUUCGGGGGCUAUUUCUAGUAUCUUUCGACGGAUUUGGAAUCCUCUCUGGCUUGAAGCUUAACCCCAGCUCAAACUGCUACGUUCGCAGCUGGAAUUUCCAGAUGGGGGUCAAGCAAAAUCUGCUAGAGUUUCAAGAUUGGAAGCAUCGGUGCGUACAUGCAGAGGGUUUACAACCUCCUCUUUCGACUAAGGUGCAGUGCAUCAUCUCCC